rnacentral:rRNA from 1 species
GUGAGGAAUUUUCCGCAAUGGGCGAAAGCCUGACGGAGCAAUGCCGCGUGAAGGAUGAAGGCCUAUGGGUUGUAAACUUCUUUUCUCAGAAAAGAAUUAUGACGGUAUCUGAGGAAUAAGCAUCGGCUAACUCUGUGCCAGCAGCCGCGGUAAGACAGAGGAUGCAAGCGUUAUCCGGAAUGAUUGGGCGUAAAGCGUCUGUAGGUUGUUUAAAAAGUAUUCUGUCAAAGAUUAGGGCUUAACCCUAGAUAGGCAGAAUAAACUUUUAAGCUAGAGUUUGGUAGAGGCAGAGGGAAUUCCCGGUGGAGCGGUGAAAUGCGUAGAUAUCGGGAGGAGCACCAAAGGCGAAGGCACUCUGCUGGGCCAAUACUAACACUGAGAGACGAAAGCGAGGGGAGCAAAUGGGAUUAGAUACCCGUGUAGUCC